CUCAAUACUAACAUUUGACUGACCUUUGACUAAUUCUUAUUAAUAUUGAUUUACUUUCAAGUCAUUUACUUUAUGCAAUUUAAAUUUCAGUCCUUUAUCAUUCAUUGUCAUUUACAUUUCAUAUGAAUUGUUUAUGUUUCAAGCCAUUUUCACUUUGCUCAUUUGAGCCAUAUCUUGUGAUCGUAUAUAUUGUUUGCUUGCUUUUGUUUUGUCUGUGGUCUUAGGACCUUAAAACAUUUAAUAACAAGGAAAACCCUAAAAAACAUUUGGUGGACUGUUAGAACUUGAUCUGAGCUUUGGACUUAGAAUUAGGCAACAUUCCAUAUGAUAAAGGACUUGGCCAAUAACAACAUUUGAGACUAAGCUAUCUUUGACAAUGCGCCCAUCUGAUACAAGACUUGAAAACUUCUUUGAUUCAUCUG
rnacentral:lncRNA from 1 species